UACGGAGGGGGCAAGCGUUGUUCGGAAUUACUGGGCGUAAAGGGCGCGCAGGCGGCUGCUCAAGUCAGGCGUGAAAGGCCUGGGCUCAACCCGGGGAAUUGCGCCUUGAGACUGGGCUGGCUUGAGUGCGGGAGAGGAUGGUGGAAUUCCCGAGUGUGAGGUGAAAUUCGUAGAUAUUGGGAAGAACACCGGGUGGCGAAGGCGGCCAUCUGGGACCGCAACUGGACGCUGAGGCGCGAAAGCGUGGGGGAGCAAAGCAGGG
rnacentral:rRNA from 1 species